UACGGAGGGAGCUAGCGUUGUUCGGAAUUACUGGGCGUAAAGCGCACGUAGGCGGCUUUUUAAGUCAGGGUGAAAUCCCGGGGCUCAACCCCGGAACUGCCCUUGAAACUGGAGAGCUAGAAUCUUGGAGAGGCGAGUGGAAUUCCGAGUGUAGAGGUGAAAUUCGUAGAUAUUCGGAAGAAACACCAGUGGCGAAGGCGACUCGCUGGACAAGUAUUGACGCUGAGGUGCGAAAGCGUGGGGAGACAAAGCAGG
rnacentral:rRNA from 1 species